CAGAGCACACAACCCCCACCACCACACGCGGGAUCUCACCGUCAGCACCCUCCGAGGCCAAGGGCGGUCCCGCGGGGAUGGGAAGGCAGCACCCUGACGCGGGCCAACCGGGGGCCGUCGUGCCUCAGCCACAGCCAACCCAAACACGCAUCUUUCACGCGGGGAAGACCACCGGCCCCGCCCCCGCCACCAGUCACGGACAGACCCCAACCCCACAAGGCCCCCACGGGCACGCGGGCAGCGGAGCCCUCAAAGAGCCCACCCUCCCCCGGAGGGGGGAGGGCGAACGGCCCAGCCCGCAGCGACAGCGAGGGGGGGUGGGGGCCGCACCAGGGCCACGGAGGGCGAGGCACCGGAGGCACGAGGGAGAGCCCCGCCGCCAGGGCGCCUCGACGCGACAGCGCCAACAACCGCACACACCGGACGGCCCUCGCGCCAUCUCCCGCCCAUCCAACCAUCCGGAUCUCCAUGCCCGGAGAAGCACCGCGACCCCGAGGGAACGCUCCCCAGGGGCGACCACGCGGGCCGAGGGGGAAGAGAGGGCUGGGCGCAGCCCAACACACGUGCCGACCGCCGCCCGACGACGGCCAGUCGCAGCCCGGGGUGGCGAGCAGGGGAAGCUGAGAGCUGCCCGCUCGCGCCACAGCCCCGGCCGACAAGGCAACACACGGAGAGUGACGCGGAAGGCACGCGCGCACACGGGCACGCGCGCCGGUCCCCAACACGAAGAAAGAGCGACGGACCGCCAGCCCGGCCCGGCGGGACCCUCCCCCGACACGGAGGGGGGAGGCGCGGGCCGCGGCCAUUAGGGCCGAAAGAGCAGCGCCCCGGUCCCCACCGCGGGGACCGGCAGACCCACCAGCACGCCUACGCUUCCCCCCAACAGAAGGGGCAAACGGGGCGCACGGGUGGGGUACGCCACCCAACGCACUCAGCACAGGAGGGACGGCGGCCGGGGGAUAACGGUACCCCGUCAGAAGGCACGCCCCUCUCGGAUCGCUAGAGAAGGCGUUCCUCACCGAAGGUGGGGCCACACCCCACCCCAACUGCCCCCCCCCCCGCCGGGGCCGGCAGGGAGGCAAGCCGAGGGAGCACCACCCGAGAGAACCGAUCAAUCGGGCGAGGGGGGUCUGCGGUAUAAGGAAGAACGGCACCUCGAGCAUCCGCGGCCAGGGCAAGGGCAGGCUGGGCGCAUUACCAAUCCCAUUCGCCACAGCCCUCCCGGCCCCCGCACUCGUCCGGCCAGACCGGACCACACCGCGACCGCUCGACACACCUGGCACACACCACCCCACGGGGGCAGGGUGGCAAGCGCGCAGGCAUGCGCCCACCAAGCCGAUACCCCACACACACGUGGGGACGACGGCACGACACCGGCAGCCUCCCUCCAAGCGAGGCGAAGCACACACGUGUCUCCUUCUCUUACCGCCUCGACCCCCCCAAGACUCCCAAGGGGCACAGGCAGCAGCCAGAGGCAGCCGCAGCAGCGACACCCGGGAGAGGGCGCUGGGGGGACAGGAGCAACACCACCACUCGGCUUCAGGCGCCUGAGGCACAACCUGGACCACUCCAGGGGCACCGCACAGGCUCGCGCGGAGGCAAGGCUCCGCAGCCACAGAGCCCACGACAGGGCGACGGCGAGGGAUGCCCGCCACGUCAGAGGACCCCGACCCCCCCCGCGCGCAAAAGCACGGGGACAGCAGAGGCCGGGCCGGUUUCCGCACCCCUGCCACCCACACACCACCCGCAGGUGGGGAAGGCAGAACGAGGGGCCCGCAGGCCAGAACGAGAGGCUCAGCAGCAUUCACC
ensembl:lncRNA